rnacentral:tRNA from 2 species
GCCCCUAUAGCUCAAUGGAUAGGGCCUGCCUCCCACUCAGGCACGGUUGCCGGUUCGACCCCGGCUAGGGGCACCA